CCUACGGUGUGCAGCAGUGGGGAAUAUUGGACAAUGGGCGAAAGCCUGAUUCAGCCAUGCCGCGUGUGUGAAGAAGGCCUUCGGGUUGUAAAGCACUUUCAGUGGGGAAGAAAGCCUUGGGGCUAAUACCCUCGAGGAAGGACAUCACCCACAGAAGAAGCACCGGCUAACUCCGUGCCAGCAGCCGCGGUAAUACGGAGGGUGCGAGCGUUAAUCGGAAUUACUGGGCGUAAAGCGCGCGUAGGCGGUCUGAUAAGCCGGUUGUGAAAGCCCCGGGCUCAACCUGGGAACGGCAUCCGGAACUGUCAGGCUAGAGUGCAGGAGAGGAAGGUAGAAUUCCCGGUGUAGCGGUGAAAUGCGUAGAGAUCGGGAGGAAUACCAGUGGCGAAGGCGGCCUUCUGGACUGACACUGACGCUGAGGUGCGAAAGCGUGGGUAGCAAACAGGAUUAGAUACCCGAGUAGUC
rnacentral:rRNA from 1 species